rnacentral:pre_miRNA from 1 species
GUCAGGAAAUGGAAGAAAAAGAGAAUCUUAGAAUUGUAGGAAUGAGAACAUGAAGGAAAGCCUAAGUGCUAAUAACCCCUCUAGCAAUAGAGGAUAUUUUGUUUCAUGUUUUCCUGAUGCCUCUCAUUCCUAUGGUUCUAGGGUGCUCCUUCCUUUUCCUUUAACCA